GGGGGGCGGAGUGUGCGGGCAGGAGGGGUGUGGGUGGGAGAGGGCUCUUCCUUCCUCCUGUGUGGGGACCUGGACGGAUGCACGCCCCACGCCCCGUGCUGCAGCUGGCUGCAGAAAGAGCUCGGCAGCCAGAGCCUUAGAAAGACGCCCCAUGCCCUUGGAAGCUAAGUGGAUGGAACCCCCCCUGCCAGCACUUGGAGUUCCCAGCUAAGUGGCGGGGGCGGCUCACCCCGGGCCAUGGGCUCGAUGCGUCUGAGUCCAGCAGGGCCUGGGAAGGGAGCCGGUGUGCCGCCCUAAGGAGAUUCUAGCAACGCGGAGGCAGGCUCCCUGUUUCCUGCUGCGGAACCUGAGGCCCGGGCACGGGCAGUGCCUUCCCCUGGGUCACAGCUGGGCUGGAGCUGAGGACUGUGCCGCCCCUGUGCCUCCCUGCAGGUGCCCUCCUCGGGGUCCUCAGAGCCCCUGGGGGCUCCCUCCCGCUGAGCAGCAGAAACGUGGACCCUGUUCUACCUUCCGUAGAAGGAACCACUGA
rnacentral:lncRNA from 12 species